rnacentral:lncRNA from 1 species
GCAACACAGUUGUUUUGUGGUUAGGAAAAAAAAAGAUAAAAAAAUACCUGUAAAAAUGAAUGCUGGGGAAAAAUAUGAUUUCUUAAUAAAAUGUUAUUUUGCUAAACGUUACAAAUCUCCAUAUUGGAACAAACGCCUUCAUUUUAUGAGGUAAUUCUAAAUGCAAUUACCUCAUACACUAUUGGCUCUUUUCAGGCCAGCUGUUUUGGACAUGUAAUGGACUAUUAGUCAUGUAAAAGGAUCUACAGUUCAAACAGUUCACGUUUUGGGCGGGGAUUAUGAGAAACUUUUAAAGAGAACAUCCAAAACACUUCAGCGGAUCCUGAUUGGGCAAGCAACCUGUCACUCGAAAGCCAGGGGCGUGGUUUAGGAGCGAUCGUUCUCAAUGUAAUAGAGUUUUAGCGCAGUCUUGCUUUUUCAUAGGCGUGUGUCAACUGUGUGUGCCUAGGGUGCUCCGCUCUUACCAAUGCGAUUAAUGAACACAACGAACCGAUUGAGGAAACACUAAACAAACAAGCUGCUUUUCCUUUUCGUCUGUAUUUUAAUACGGACGAGCUUCGCGUCUGCAAGGAAUCAUCCCUCUGCACGAGCACAAAGGAAAAUUAAAAAGGGAAGAAAAGGUCUGUUGUGGAAUGUCACAACUUCCUCAAGUGAUCCAGUACUUUACCCUCAGCUUAAUCACCUGACUGCGGUCCUGUUGUCUGAUUGGAUCAUCUUUUGAGUUACGCAAUGGACUCUAGCUGAACAAAAGUCUCACUGAAGACUGGUUGUGUUUCAUCUGCUCCCUAAUUCCCUAUGACGUGAUUCAGGACAUCGUGAACAAAUGUAAGUACUAGCAAGACUCUUGAUACACUGAAGUUUGGGAAAUUUAUGACUUCAUCAUCACUUGUGACCUGGCUAGAUCACAAGUGCAAGUAGCUGGUAUUUAUCAACAUGUUUGUGCACCUUCAUUGUAGAUGUAAAAAGUACACUGACAUUAUGAAAUUGUGCUUUUCUUGAUGAGUUUUUAAACAUGGCAAUUCAGACAUUAAACAUAUCGCAUAGCAAAGCACACAAUUAUUAUAAUAUUAAUAAAAAUACCAAAAUCUCAACAUAAAUAAACAUAAACAAAAAUAAAUGUUAUUUUAUUUUGAGGAUAUGACAUAUAUUAGUGCUAAAAUUGGUUAUACCCAAUAUUAGUUUUUAUUUAUUUAUUUAUUAAUAACAGUCAAUAUUGAAUAUUGUAUUAUGUCCCUUAUAUUGACAUUAAGAAUUCCUGUAGUGUCAUCUACCACUCAAAGUAUUUUUUUUAUAUUAAUACUAAUAAUUGAAAACCUUUAAAACUUUAAAAAUAUAAAAUUUAAUUUUUUCUGAAAUCUUAAAUAAAAAUAUGUUUUUCAUAUUUUAUGAAAUAAUGUUGUGUUGCCAACAUAAUGGUUGAUUUUAGUGUUUCAUUUUUAUUUUAUUCCUGCAC